GGACCAUGUGGUAGCCUGCGUUGGCUGUCUCCAGCAGGUUCCUGUGUGAUUGCGUUUUUAAAGCUAGCUCUACCUACCUAAGUGUCGUUGACACUGGCUCUUGCUGAAGCCUUAUUACUCUUUAAAGAGCAAUUUGGUUGGUUGCACGGCUAUUAGGAUCAGGCAGCGAGGAUUAGAGCUGUCAUUGCAACUGCUUCUCUUCUUUUUUUCUUACAGUCUUGACAUUCCUUUCUUGCAUUGCUUUCCUUCUUUUCUUCUGCUGGACACAAACUGUGGAUGUUUUCCAUCCCACUCGCAGUGUGAAAGCUGAAGGAUGUAUUCCCAGUGAAACCCGAAGUAGAGAGAGCAGGAAAUAAUUUUGCAGCAGCAGCAGCAGCUUCAGUGUAGCACGCCGGCUGGAUGUGAUGUGGGCGAUGCUGGAUCAGUGAGAAAUGUAGCUUUCCUUAGGGCUAUAUCAGUGAGAUAUUACCUCAACAGAUGAGGAUGGCAAAGCAAGCCCCUGCUCUCAUUUCCCAGUGAUUAAUGACAUCGUCCAAAGUGAAUGUGGAGUGGAGGCAAAUAAAGAUGUGAAGAUGAGGUGCGAGUAACUCUUGGAAAUGUUUUCGAGGGGAAAAACAGGAUUUUUUUCAGUGUUUGAACUUCUUUUAUUUCUCUUUCUCCUGUUGUGGGAACCAACUCUCGCCAAGCAGAGUAGAACUAAAGGAAGACACUGGAAAGGUGGAUCCCGCCUUCGCCAGGAGGACUCCCCACCCCGGAUUGUGGAGCACCCCUCUGACCUGAUCGUCUCCAAGGGGGAGCCGGCCACCCUCAACUGCAAGGCAGAGGGCCGGCCCACCCCCACAGUGGAGUGGUACAAGGACGGAGAGCGGGUGGAGACCGACAAGGACGACCCCCGCUCCCACCGCAUGCUGCUGCCCAGUGGCUCGCUCUUCUUCCUGCGCAUCGUGCACGGGCGCCGCAGCAAGCCGGACGAGGGCAGUUAUGUCUGCGUGGCCAGGAACUACCUGGGGGAGGCUGUGAGCCGCAAUGCAUCCCUUGAAGUUGCAUUGCUGCGGGAUGACUUCCGACAGAACCCUACUGAUGUUGUUGUGGCAGCUGGAGAACCUGCUAUUCUGGAAUGCCAGCCCCCUCGUGGACACCCAGAGCCAACAAUCUACUGGAAGAAAGAUAAAGUGCGCAUUGAUGAUAAGGAAGACAGGAUUACGAUCCGAGGUGGGAAGCUCAUGAUCUCCAACACCAGGAAAAGCGAUGCAGGCAUGUAUGUCUGUGUGGGAACCAACAUGGUUGGGGAACGAGACAGUGAAACAGCACAACUCACAGUGUUUGAGCGGCCUACAUUUCUGAGGCGGCCAAUCAACCAGAUAGUGCUGGAGGAGGAGGCAGUGGAGUUCCGGUGCCAGGUCCAAGGAGACCCCCAGCCCUCUGUGCGCUGGCGGAAGGACGAUGCAGACUUGCCCAGAGCACGGUAUGACAUUAAGGAUGACUAUGUGCUCCGCAUUAAAAAAGCUUCCAGCAGCGAUGAAGGCACCUAUACCUGCAUUGCUGAGAACCGCGUGGGAAAAGUAGAGGCCUCAGCAUCCCUUACUGUCAGGGCUCGCCCCGUCGCACCCCCUCAGUUUGUGGUCAGGCCGAGGGAUCAGAUUGUUGCGCAGGGACGGACUGCUACUUUCCCCUGUGAGACAAAAGGAAACCCACAGCCAGCUGUCUUCUGGCAGAAAGAAGGUAGUCAGAACUUACUGUUCCCAAACCAGCCCCUGCAGCCCAAUAGCAGGUUUGCAGUGUCGCAGAGUGGUGACCUCACCAUCUCGAAUGUGCAGCGCUCAGAUGCUGGGUACUACAUCUGCCAGGCUCUCACCGUUGCUGGCAGCAUCUUGGCCAAGGCUCAGCUGGAAGUCACGGAUGUUUUGACAGAUAGGCCUCCGCCAAUUAUUCGCCAAGGCCCAGCCAAUCAGACACUUGGUGUCGACACUGUGGCCUUGCUGAGGUGCCAGGCAUCAGGAGACCCCAUCCCAAACAUCAGCUGGUUAAAGGAUGGGGUUAGUCUGCUGGGCAAGGACUCCCGGAUGUCUCUACAGGAUCUUGGAAGCCUCCAGAUCAAAAAUGUCAGAAUAUCAGAUUCUGGUGUAUAUACCUGUGUAGCAGCAAGUUCCAGUGGGGAAACAUCUUGGAGUGCCUUUUUGGAAGUGAGAGAAUCUGCAGGGGCUACAGUAACCAAGAGCCACAAUGUGAAUGAUCUUCCCGGGCCACCCUCCAAACCCCAGGUCACUGAUGUCACAAAGAACAGUGUCUCAUUGUCAUGGCAGCCAGGGAUGACUGGGGGCUCACCCGUCACUUCUUAUGUGAUUGAGGCCUUUAGCCAGUCAGUGAGUAACAGCUGGCAAACAGUGGCAGAUCACGUCAAGACAACACUCUACACUGUCAGAGGUCUCCGGCCAAACACUAUCUAUCUCUUCAUGGUCAGAGCUGUGAACUUACAGGGCCUUAGUGACCCUAGUCCAAUGUCAGAACCAGUUCGCACUCAAGAUAUCAGCCCCCCUGCACAGGGCGUGGAUCACAGGCAUGUUCAGAAGGAGCUAGGAGAGGUGAUAGUGCGACUCCACAAUCCUGUGGUUCUCAGCCCCACCACAGUUCAGGUCACAUGGACGGUGGACCGCCAGUCACAGUUCAUUCAGGGCUAUCGGGUCUUAUACAGACAAACCUCAGGACUACCCUCACCUUCCAGCUGGCAAAGCCAGGAUGUGAAAGUGCCAACAGAGAGGAGUGUUGUUCUUUCUGGUCUAAAGAAAGGCGUUGUCUAUGACGUCAAAGUCCGCCCAUAUUUCAAUGAGUUCCAAGGCAUGGACAGUGAGUCCAAGACAGCUCGCACCACUGAGGAAGCCCCAAGCGCUCCUCCACAGUCUGUCACUGUCCUGAUGGUUGGAAACCAUAACAGCACCAGCAUCAGUAUCUCUUGGGACCCGCCACCUCCAGAUCACCAGAACGGGAUAAUCCAAGAGUACAAGAUCUGGUGUCUGGGAAAUGAGACUCGCUUCCAUGUCAACAAGACUGUAGAUGCAGCAAUUCGCUCCGUUCUCAUUGGAGGACUCUACCCUGGGAUUCAAUACCGGGUCGAGGUGGCAGCGAGCACCAGUGCUGGUGUGGGGGUUAAAAGUGAACCACAGCCUAUCAUUAUAGGAAAUAUCAGGGAUGUCAUUGUGAGUGGGCCUGGAAGCAACAACAGCAUCACAGAGCAAAUCACUGAUGUCGUCAAGCAGCCUGCCUUCAUAGCUGGCAUCGGUGGGGCCUGCUGGGUUAUCCUGAUGGGCUUCAGCAUCUGGUUGUACUGGCGUCGAAAGAAGAGGAAAGGUCUUAGCAAUUAUGCAGUUCAGUCCUUCACCUUCACUCCUGCAGUCACCUUUCAGCGUGUGGAUGGAGGAAUGAUGAGCAAUGGAAGCCGUCCAGGUCUAGUCAAUGCAAGUGAUCCCAGCUACCCCUGGCUAGCAGACUCUUGGCCUGCGACGAGCCUUCCAGUCAACAGUGGCACCAGUGGACCAAAUGAUCUUGGAAACUUUGGCCGUGGAGAUGUGCUGCCUUCAGUGCCAGGCCAGGGAGACAAAACAGGAACCAUGCUCUCUGAUGGUGCCAUCUACAGCAGCAUAGACUUCACCACCAAGGCCAGCUACAACAGCCCCAGUCAGAUUUCACAGGCCACCCCUUAUGCCACCACACAGAUCCUUCACUCCAACAGCAUCCAUGAACUGGCUGUAGACCUGCCUGACCCCCAGUGGAAAGCUUCUAUCCAGGCUAAACAGGAACUCACAGGACUGGGCUACUCACUGCCUGAUAAAAACUCCUGCAACAACACACUACUUUUCAUUCCUGACUACCGAUUGGCCGAAGGAUUGUCUAAUAGAAUGCCACACAACCAAUCACAAGAUUUCAGCACCACCAGCUCUCACAACAGCUCAGAAAGGAGCAGCAGUCUCUCAGGUGGAAAAGGAGGAAAGAAAAAGAAAAACAAAAGUGGAUCCAAACCUCAGAAGACAAAUGGAUCAAACUGGGCCAAUGUUCCCCUGCCGCCUCCACCUGUCCACCCGCUGCCUGGCACAGAGCUUGACCACUACACUGGAGAUCAGCAGGAGGGAGGGUAUGAGAGUGACGGCUGGGGACCCCCACUCCCAGUCCAGACUUACCUUCAUCAGGGGUUGGAAGAUGAGCUGGAGGAGGAAGACGAGCGGGUGCCCACUCCACCCAUCCGGGGAGUGGCUUCCUCCCCUGCAGUGUCCUUCGGUCAGCAGUCCACCGCUACACUCACGCCCUCCCCACGGGAUGAGAUGCAGCCCAUGCUUCAGGCUCACCUGGAUGAGCUGACCCGGGCCUACCAGUUUGACAUUGCCAAACAAACCUGGCACAUGCAGGGCAGUAACCACCCACCCCAAGCCCCUGCCCCUCCUGUGGGGUAUAUCUCUAGUACUCUGGUCUCAGAUCUUGAGACUGACAUUCCAGAUGAGGAAGACGAUGAUGAAGAAGAGGACGAAGCUUAUGAAAUGGCACGGCCACUCAGAGGUAUAGAGCACACCCCUGGCUCCAGCAUGGACAAUCUGGACAGCUCAGUGACAGGUUCAAUGAUUAAUGGCUGGGGUUCUGCUUCAGACGAGGAGCGAAACUUCUCUAGCCAUAGAUCUAGUGUAGGUAGCUCCUCUGACGACUCCAUUUUUACCAACGGCAGUUUUGCCCAGGCGCUGGUGGCAGCAGCCGGCAAAGCAGGCUACAGGUUUGAUGGGACAAGCCUCACCAAGAAAGGAAAAGGCUAUCCUCAAAGGCCUCGACCUGGAAGUCCAUUCUCCACAGACAGUAAUACAAGUGCAGCAUAUAACCAGAGCCAAAAGUCCAGGCCCAUGAAAAAACACAAGGCUGGCAGGCUGGAGCCAGCCCCAGCGCCUCAUCGCAGAGAGGGCAUCACAGACGACCUCCCUCCCCCUCCAGACCCACCGCCAUGCCAGGGCUCUAGGGCUCAGCUCGGUGCAGGACAGCGAGCUGGGGGCAUGGCCAACUCUGGAGAGAGGAAGGCCAGCUCCUUGGAGCGACAGCAGGUCUCCAGCCUGGAGGAAAAGAAGAGCUCCCUGGAGAGGCAGACUAGGACAUCUCUAGAAAGACAGCAACAAGCCCAGGAUCGUGUGGGCUCUAUGGAGCGCAAUGAUGAUGUCAGGAGACACCACAAACAAGCACUUGGAUCAGAAGAGGUACUGGUUCCAUACAGCAAACCCAACUUCCCAUCUCCUGGAGGACACAGCUCCUCGGGAACUGCUUCUUCCAAAGGGUCCACAGGGCCAAGGAAAGGUGAUGUCACACGAGGGUACAUGGGGACGAAUGGCCAAGGACAGUACUCUGGAGAAUUAUGCUGCACAGUAGGAGAGUAAAUGCAGCAUUUUCAUCUCAUGGAUCUUCUUCAUCUGACCUGCAGAAGUCUCUUUAAUUUGGAGUGCAUUGGAAAAGAAACACCAUAGGAUGAGAAACCAUUUCAGCACCCACCGAAGUGAUAACACCAGUUGGUGCAAUGAACUUUUCCCUUAUUUAUAUACCAUUAGCAAAGAAAAAAGGAAAACUGUAAAUGUGAUGUAAAGACACACAGACACAUAUCCCACUGAUGCUGAUUUCUGUUUUAGCCUCCUUAAAAUAAAGUAACACACCUCCCACCUUAACUAUUUCUUGUCAGGAAAAAAAAAUAAAAAAGUGAUUUUAAAGUACAAAUUCGCCCUUCAAGACAAAGGGAUUUUGUUUCUGUAAAUAAUCUUUCCGUUGUUGCAUUGCUAUGCAAAUUCACUUCGGUUUUGGCUUUUUCAUAUGAUAUUGUCUGUUUUUAUUGGUCAUUUGUACUAUAUGUGAAUUGAUAGGCUGUGGUGCCAUAAAAUAAUUGUUUUAUUAUAUAACAUUUUUUAUUAUUAUUGUUUAUCGUUUUUGCACUGCAAUUUUUGGUGAUAAGCACAAAAUAUAAACUCCUGAUAACAUGAAGAAUCCAGACUGAAUGUGAAGAGGAGUUUCUGUACUGUAAACUAAAAAAAAAUAUAUAUAUAUAAGAGGUUUUGCUUUGGAAAGGGCCAGCACCCCAAGGAAGGUUGUGGUAUUUAUCUAGACCUAACAUAUACAGGAUUAAAAAGGCUAGAAAUAGAUUGUGAUAGUGGCAGGUGUAUCUGUUAAAAUCAUAGUAUUAGUGUAGAGCGGAAGAGAACAGGUGCACACAGAGAUGGCUGAGGUUCAAAUGGCACACACUAAAUAAAUCUUCAAUGGGCAUCACAGUUCAUUUGGUGGAGCCUGCUCCUGUCAAUAGCACCUUUCCCAGUGUGAAUUCAAAGGAGGGUGGGGGCUGCCUGGGAAGUGAUUAAAAGAUCAUAACACUCAUUAUAAUGCCACAUUUGCGUAUUUGUAGUUUUGUUUCAAUUCAUAAAAAGGUACGGGUAAUGCAUGUUGUUUCUGUCAAAGCUAUCUACAGAGCAUGAUAAGGUAAUGAAACACAUCUCAUUUAUGGAAUAAUCUAUGCAAUGCACAAAGACUUUUCUCUUCUUUCUUCAUUUUGAUUUAUUUCAAGAGAAACAAUAGUCUUUGAGUAAUUGCUUGCUUUUACUAAGCUGAAGAAUGUAUCCUUGCUGUUUUUUAAUGUGGUUCCCUCAAGUCAUGGCCUGUCUCACUUGGCUAGUACUAACACAGGCACAUCUGUCCAGCACUCCAACCUACACUUCAGCUUCAGGGACCAAAGUACAAGCUCCUUCAGCAGAACAGCAAACAGCACCUAGUAUGUUGAUUUAGAGCAGGAAACAACUUUAGUCAAUGUGGUUUCUAAGGUAUAUGAUUCCAGCUUUUCCCUUAUAGACAGGAUGAUCUCUAUUUAGGAGUGGCUA